GAAUCUUUAUUCCUCCCAGUCUCCAGUAUGAAUACUUCCCCAGGCUUGGUACCUUAGGCUAUCAAGAGAGGUAUACUAUAGCACCUGAUAUCAUCUUGCAGUAGGAAGGGGGAAGUCCCGGAGAGACUUCUAUCUUCUAACACUUUAUCAGUUUGUCGUGAAGAUAAGAAUUUCCAGAAAACCCACAUUCAGAGGACUUCUACCAAUUGGCCAGAAUGCCAUGAGGGCACCACUAUCAACAAGAAAGGUGUCGAUCGGGCUCGGCUGAUAGGCUGAAAGGAGAUGAUUACCUCAGCACUGAGCUGCCCCAAGCUUAUCAGCAAGGGAGAGCAAAGGGUGGACAGACUGACGGACAGGCGGACGUAAAAAUAAUCACUAGGUACAGCAGUGUGUGCUUGCUGUUUCCAGAAACCAUCUAGAAUUGAGCAUCAAGCUUAGGACUCCGAAUUACAGAACACCCAUCACUGCACAGAUCUACAUCCGAAUAUACAGAACACCCAUCACUGCACAGAUUUCAUCUAAAAAGAUAAUCUGAAGAGAUGUGCUGCCUUGCCUACAGUCAUAAAACAGAAUA
rnacentral:lncRNA from 1 species